rfam:Schistosoma rodhaini strain Burundi genome assembly, scaffold: SROB_scaffold0007619
GCACUGCUGCGGAGUCUCAAAAUAGGACGAAACGGCCGUCCAGUGC